rnacentral:rRNA from 1 species
AUUGAACGCUGGCGGCAGGCCUAACACAUGCAAGUCGAGCGAGCGGCGGACGGGUGAGUAAUGCCUGGGAAUUGCCCAGUCGAGGGGGAUAACAGUUGGAAACGACUGCUAAUACCGCAUACGAUUGGAUGUCCCAGGUGGGAUUAGCUAGUUGGUGAGGUCAUGGCUCACCAAGGCGACGAUCCCUGGCUGGUCUGAGAGGAUGAGCAGCCAAACUGGAACUGGGAGACGGUCCAAAUUCCGACGGGAGUCAGCAGUAGGGAAUAGUGCACAAUGGGGGAAACCCUGAAGCAGCCAUGCCGCGUGUGCGAAGAAGGCCUUCGGGUUGGAAAGCACUUUCAGCGAGGAGGCGUUACUCGCAGAAGAAGCACCGGCUAACUCCGUGCCAGCAGCCGCGGUAAUUC